UACGUAGGGGGCAAGCGUUGUCCGGAAUCAUUGGGCGUAAAGAGCGUGUAGGCGGCCCGAUAAGUCCGCUGUGAAAGUCCAGGGCUCAACCCUGGAAUGCCGGUGGAUACUGUCGGGCUCGAAUCCGGAAGAGGUGAGUGGAAUUCCUGGUGUAGCGGUGAAAUGCGCAGAUAUCAGGAGGAACACCGGUGGCGAAGGCGACUUUCUGGCCUGUUCUUGACGCUGAGGCGCGAAAGCUAGGGGAGCAAACGGG
rnacentral:rRNA from 1 species